GUUCACUCACUAGCAGGCACACACACAAGCUCACUCACUUGAAGGCAGGCACACAUGCAAUCUCACUCACUAGCAGACACACACACACACAAGCACACAAGCUCACUCACUAGCAGGCACACACACAUGCAAGUUCACUCACUAGCAGGCACACACACAAGCUCACUCACUUGAAGGCACACACACAUGCAAGCUCACUCACUAGCAGACACACACACACUCACACUCACAAGCUCUCUCACCAGCAGCCACACACACAGACACACAAGCUCUCUCACUAGCAGGCACACAUACACGCACACAAGCUC